UACAGAGGGGGCAAGCGUUGUUCGGAAUUACUGGGCGUAAAGCGCACGUAGGCGGAUUGCUAAGUCAGGGGUGAAAUCCUGGAGCUCAACUCCAGAACUGCCUUUGAUACUGGCGAUCUUGAGUCCGGGAGAGGUGAGUGGAACUGCGAGUGUAGAGGUGAAAUUCGUAGAUAUUCGCAAGAACACCAGUGGCGAAGGCGGCUCACUGGCCCGGUACUGACG
rnacentral:rRNA from 1 species